UACAGAGGUCUCAAGCGUUGUUCGGAUUCAUUGGGCGUAAAGGGUGUGUAGGUGGCGCCGUAAGUCGGGUGUGAAAUUUCGGAGCUUAACUCCGAAACUGCAUUCGAUACUGCGGUGCUUGAGGACUGGAGAGGAGACUGGAAUUCUCGGUGUAGCGGUGAAAUGCGUAGAUAUCGGGAAGAACACCCGUGGCGAAGGCGGCUCUCUGGAACGGUACUGACGCUGAGACGCGAAAGCGUGGGGAGCGAACAGG
rnacentral:rRNA from 1 species